GAUGAACGCUAGCGGCAGGCUUAAUACAUGCAAGUCGAGGGGCAGCAGGGUGUAGCAAUACAUCGCUGGCGACCGGCAAACGGGUGCGGAACACGUACGCAACUUACCCAAAAUUGGGGGAUAGCCCGGGGAAACCCGGAUUAAUACCUCGUAACAUUAUGGAGUGGCAUCACUCUAUAAUUAUAGCUCCGGCGGUUCUGGAUGGGCGUGCGCCUGAUUAAGUAGUUGGUUGAGGUAACGGCUCACCAAGCCUGCGAUCAGUAACUGGUGUGAGCGCACGAACAGUCAAACGGGCACUGAGACACGGGCCAGACUCCUACGGGAGGCAGCAGUAAGGAAUAUUCGUCAAUGGACGAAAGUCUGAACCAGCUAUGCCGCGUGGAGGAUGAAGGCCCUCUGGGUUGUAAACUUCUUUUAUAUGGGACGAAAAAGGGCCUUUCUAGGUCAACUGACGGUACCAUGUGAAUAAGCACCGGCUAACUCCGUGCCAGCCGCCGCGGUAAUAC
rnacentral:rRNA from 1 species